rnacentral:tmRNA from 1 species
AACUGACUGUAGAGGACUUGCGGACGCGGGUUCGAUUCCCGCCGCCUCCACCA